rnacentral:rRNA from 1 species
UACGAGAGGUCCAAACGUUAUUCGGAAUCACUGGGCUUACAGAGUUCGUAGGCGGCUCUACAAGUGAGGUGUGAAAGCCCUCGGCUCAACCGAGGAACUGCGCUUCAAACUGUAAAGCUAGAGGGAGAUAGAGGUGAGCGGAACUGAUGGUGGAGCGGUGAAAUGCGUUGAUAUCAUCAGGAACACCGGAGGCGAAGGCGGCUCACUGGGGAUUUUCUGACGCUGAGGAACGAAAGCCAGGGGAGCGAACGGG